UACGUAGGGUGCGAGCGUUAAUCGGAAUACUGGGCGUAAAGCGUGCGCAGGCGGUGAUGUAAGACAGGUGUGAAAUCCCCGGGCUUAACCUGGGAACUGCAUUUGUGACUGCAUCGCUGGAGUGCGGCAGAGGGGGAUGGAAUUCCGCGUGUAGCAGUGAAAUGCGUAGAUAUGCGGAGGAACACCGAUGGCGAAGGCAAUCCC
rnacentral:rRNA from 1 species